GAUGAACGCUGGCGGCGUGCUUAACACAUGCAAGUCGAACGAAGCACUUUAUUUGAUUUCCUUCGGGACUGAUUAUUUUGUGACUGAGUGGCGGACGGGUGAGUAACGCGUGGGUAACCUGCCUUGUACAGGGGGAUAACAGUUGGAAACGGCUGCUAAUACCGCAUAAGCGCACGGCAUCGCAUGAUGCAGUGUGAAAAACUCCGGUGGUAUAAGAUGGACCCGCGUUGGAUUAGCUAGUUGGUGAGGUAACGGCCCACCAAGGCGACGAUCCAUAGCCGACCUGAGAGGGUGACCGGCAACAUUGGGACUGAGACACGGCCCAAACUCCUACGGGAGGCAGCAGUGGGGAAUAUUGCACAAUGGGCGAAAGCCUGAUGCAGCGACGCCGCGUGAGCGAAGAAGUAUUUCGGUAUGUAAAGCUCUAUCAGCAGGGAAGAUAAUGACGGUACCUGACGAAGAAGCACCGGCUAAAUACGUG
rnacentral:rRNA from 1 species